rnacentral:rRNA from 1 species
UACGUAGGGACCAAGCGUUGUUCGGAUUUACUGGGCGUAAAGGGCGCGUAGGCGGCGCGGUAAGUCACUUGUGAAAUCUCUGAGCUUAACUCAGAACGGCCAAGUGAUACCGCAGUGCUAGAGUGUGGAAGGGGCAAUCGGAAUUCUUGGUGUAGCGGUGAAAUGCGUAGAUAUCAAGAGGAACACCUGAGGUGAAGACGGGUUGCUGGGCCAACACUGACGCUGAGGCGCGAAAGCCAGGGGAGCAAACGGG